CUUGGUAUUUUUUAGUGCUAUAAUAUUUGAAUUGAAUGCAAAAUGUUUGAUUUGAAUGUUUUUAUCCCAGUGUAAAAUUGUUGUUUUCACAGUGAAAACAAUCAAAACAAAAUUAGUAAAAUAAUCGAAUUUAUUCUUUCUGUCAAACAACAACAACAACAAAAAUACUCAACAAGGAUGAAAAAUGUUGAAUGUCAUUCGAUUCGGCGCCAAUUUUUCAACGUUUUCCAGUUCAAGUGCUCAGAGAUCUCCAACGAUAACAUCGGUCGUAUUUUGCUGAAAAGUGAAGAGCAAACUGCCAAACGACUGUUUACGGAACCGUAAUUUAUUCAGUGAUUUAUUGAGUAAAGCCACUCCGGACGAUAUGUGGACCCCGUUCAAGCACCUCUUCAAUAGUAUCGAGUCGUUCCUUUCGGCGUCCGGCAGUAGCACUGGGCAACAGCAGGAACAAAAUGUGGCCAGUCUGGAUGCGCUGCUGCGAAAGCAUAAAGCAGAAUCUCAUCACCCUGCUGCAAAAUCCACCGAAGAAUGCCAAAAGCCAGGAGGCAAUCCGAGUCGGGAUUACGAACGGAAUAACGUUGCCUGAGUUUGGGCACACUAUUCUGUCAAAGGACCUGGUGGACGAGAGUGUGAUUAUAUCCGAUAUGUACGAUUUGAACGAGUACAUUGCGCUGGAAUUGCUUUGAUGUACGGGUUGGAUAUGACCGUGAUUCAGAGCCGGGAGGAUGGGGAGGAGGUCGUGAAACGGCUGCCAAUGGUGAGGGAUCCGGAGUUCAUCGAGAAGGUGAUGGAUUCAGUGUGUUCAUGUUGGGAGUGCGAAGGUUUGCGAUCGGUUUCGUUGUUCACGUUUGGGAUGGAUUUUUAUAUAUUUUAUAUGUAUAAUUAUUUUUAAAUUGUUUUUUCUUAUUGUAUAUAAAUAUAGUUUUUUUGAAUAAAAAUAAUAAAUGAAACGAAA